UGUAGUAAAAAAAUCGUAACAAGGUCUCCGUUGGUGAACCAGCGGAGGGAUCAUUACCGAGUUUACAACUCCCAAACCCCUGUGAACAUACCUAUACGUUGCCUCGGCGGAUCAGCCCGCGCCCCGUAAAACGGGACGGCCCGCCCGAGGACCCCUAAACUCUGUUUUUAGUGGAACUUCUGAGUAAAACAAACAAAUAAAUCAAAACUUUCAACAACGGAUCUCUUGGUUCUGGCAUCGAUGAAGAACGCAGCAAAAUGCGAUAAGUAAUGUGAAUUGCAGAAUUCAGUGAAUCAUCGAAUCUUUGAACGCACAUUGCGCCCGCCAGUAUUCUGGCGGGCAUGCCUGUUCGAGCGUCAUUUCAACCCUCAAGCUCAGCUUGGUGUUGGGACUCGCGGUAACCCGCGUUCCCCAAAUCGAUUGGCGGUCACGUCGAGCUUCCAUAGCGUAGUAAUCAUACACCUCGUUACUGGUAAUCGUCGCGGCCACGCCGUUAAACCCCAACUUCUGAAUGUGACCUCGGAUCAGGUAGGAAACCCAG
rnacentral:rRNA from 2 species